GACGAACGCUGGCGGCGUGCUUAACACAUGCCAGUCGAACGGAAAGGCCCUGCUUUUGUGGGCUGCUCGAGUGGCGAACGGGUGAGUAACACGUGAGUAACCUGCCCUUGACUUUGGGAUAACUUCAGGAAACUGGGGCUAAUACCGGAUAGGAGCUCCUGCUGCAUGGUGGUGGUUGGAAAGUUUCGUCGGUUGGGGAUGGACUCGCGUCGUAUCAGCUUGUUGGGGGGGUAGUGGCUUACCAAGGCUUUGACGGGUAGCCGGCCUGGGAGGGUGACCGGACAAAUUGGACCUGAGAUAAGGCACAGACUCCUAUGGGAGGCAGCAGUGGGGAAUAUUACACAAGGGGCGGAAGGCAGAUGUAGCAACGCCGCGUGCGGGAUGACGGCCUUGGGGUUGUAAACCGAUUUCGCCUGUGACGAAGCGUGAGUGACGGUAAUGGGUAAAGAAGCACCGGCUAACUACGUG
rnacentral:rRNA from 1 species